CCUAUGCUGCCGAGAAAAGCCUCUAGCGAGGUCCGUACCGCCCGUACCCCAAACCGACUCAGGUGGUCAGGUAGAGAAUACCAAGGCGAUCGAGUGAAUCAUGGUUAAGGAACUCGGCAAAAUGCCCCCGUAACUUCGGGAGAAGGGGGGCCUGAGGCGUGAAGGCUGUACAGCCGGAGCGUUUGAGGGCCGCAGAGACCAGGGAGAAGCGACUGUUUACUAAAAACACAGGUCCGUGCGAAGUCGCAAGACGAUGUAUACGGACUGACGCCUGCCCGGUGCUGGAACGUUAAGGGGACGGGUCAGCCUCACGGCGAAGCUCAGAACUUAAGCGCCAGUAAACGGCGGUGGUAACUAUAACCAUCCUAAGGUAGCGAAAUUCCUUGUCGGGUAAGUUCCGACCUGCACGAAUGGCGUAACGACUUCUCCGCUGUCUCAACCGUGAACUCGGCGAAAUUGCACUACGAGUAAAGAUGCUCGUUACGCGCAGCAGGACGGAAAGACCCCGGGACCUUUACUACAGCUUGGUAUUGGUGUUCGGAACGGCUUGUGUAGGAUAGGUGGGAGACUGUGAAGCGGGCACGCCAGUGUUCGUGGAGUCAACGUUGAAAUACCACUCUGGUCGUUCUGGAUGUCUAACUUCGGUCCGUGAUCCGGACCAGGGACAGUGCCUGGUGGGUAGUUUAACUGGGGCGGUUGCCUCCCAAAAUGUAACGGAGGCGCCCAAAGGUUCCCUCAGCCUGGUUGGCAAUCAGGUGUCGAGUGUAAGUGCACAAGGGAGCUUGACUGUGAGACAGACAUGUCGAGCAGGGACGAAAGUCGGGACUAGUGAUCCGGCCGUGGUUCGUGGAAACGCGGUCGCUCAACGGAUAAAAGGUACCCCGGGGAUAACAGGCUGAUCUUGCCCAAGAGUCCAUAUCGACGGCAUGGUUUGGCACCUCGAUGUCGGCUCGUCGCAUCCUGGGGCUGGAGUAGGUCCCAAGGGUUGGGCUGUUCGCCCAUUAAAGCGGUACGCGAGCUGGGUUUAGAACGUCGUGAGACAGUUCGGUCCCUAUCCGCUGCGCGCGCAGGAGACUUGAGAAGGGCUGUCCCUAGUACGAGAGGACCGGGACGGACGAACCUCUGGUGUGCCAGUUGUUCCGCCAGGAGCACCGCUGGUUAGCUACGUUCGGAAGGGAUAACCGCUGAAGGCAUCUAAGCGGGAAGCCUGCUUCAAGAUGAGGUCUCCAUGGGGUGUUCCCCGAGAGGCUCCCAGCUAGACCACUGGGUUGAUAGGCCGGAUGUGGACGCGAGGACUAAAGACUCGUGAAGCUGACCGGUACUAAUAAGCCGAUAAC
rnacentral:rRNA from 1 species